CGGUUAUGUUUUGUCCGUCUUCACCUUUAGUGAAUCUAACGGCAGUACUUGUCGCUACAGUCUUGGACCUCGAAAAAGCGGAUAGCAGUUGAACGCGACGGGUCGGGACGACCUUUGCACAUCAUUUUGAGCAGAGUUAUUUUCUUGCACACAAGAUUACUGCUCAGACUACCGGUGACGGUGGUAACACUGUGAAGUGGUUGGACCAUAGUGUUUGCUUGCAAACGAGUUCCUUUCUUGCACAAGUGUCGUGUCAACUGUUCAACAGCGGCAAUCAAGUAGCGUCCCAGCCACUACAGUUGCGUUUGCUAUUGCACUGGCCAGUAACACGUUGUCCUGUAUUCGUAUGAACUGCAAAGUGUUCCAACUUGUCUUAAUAUACUUUUGGUUAUUCAGACCAUUGUUCCUACCACCGGUGGCUGCGGUAACUCCGUGAAGCGGCUGGACCUUCCUAAAUGUUUGGCAACGAACCCCUUUCUCCCGCAUGGCCAUUGCUCAGACCACCAGUGACUGUGGUAACCUGAGUGUGGAGCGGUUGGACCUUCCCCUUUCCUUGUGAACGAACCCCGUGCUCACGCAAGAUCAUUGCUGAGGCCACUAGUGACUGGUUCGGACAGCUCUGGUCAUGUGGUUUUCAUCGUACCAUUGCCUUCAUAUCAUCUACCCCAAACAGUUGAUGGCAACACUUGACUUCAUCCAAACGUAUAAACAUAGCAGCUAUAAACCCUGACCGAGCUGGAGUGAUAAAAAAGAGCACAUCAGUCCUUCCUAAGGUUCUGCGUCUUGUGGAGAAGCUCGCUGGGCAGGAGAGGAAUAUUUAAGUCACAGGUACUUCGCACAGAGGACGCUAAAGGCUGCCAUGAAAGCACUACAUGAAGCGUACAAAUAAAGAAGUUGCAAUCGAAAAAAAGGUUUCUGGAUUAAUCGAAAGGGAACAAAAAGUAUAAGGCAAGGAUGCAUUGAUAGAUGCUAGAUAGAUAGACAGAGGGAGCAAUGCACGCAAGACAAAUUAUUAUUGGACACUGAGUGGCGUUCCCUGUAUGUAUUGCUCAUUCUUUCUACCAUCUAUUGUGCAUGCUGUGUGACCUAACCACGAAGACACACACAUACAGUUCUUGUAAAUAUGUGGAUGUCGUUCAUAUUUACACUUUGCACAUAUUGUACAACGCAGUUAACAGAACUCCUCUAGUCGCGCAUGGCAAUUAAUUAGUCAAGAAUUCAGUCGAGGAAACUAGAAACAACAAUACGAUUAAAAGUAGCAAGACACACCUGCGUCACGCAAAAGUGAAUUUCUACUCUUCGUAGAUUAUACCGUAAUUUUACGGAGAAGUUCCCUAACGGUUCCCCGUCAAAUUACUUAUGUAACCUGUCAAAGCAACGGCCAACCACCGUUUCUUCUGAAAACAGCUGACCGUAAAAUUACGGUAAAAGGUUGGCAUCCCAGCUGCCGUAGAUUUUACCGUUUUUUUACGGUGAAAUUUUUU